rnacentral:rRNA from 1 species
GACGAACGCUGGCGGCGUGCUUAACACAUGCAAGUCGAACGGAAAGGCCCCUUCGGGGGUACUCGAGUGGCGAACGGGUGAGUAACACGUGAGUAACCUGCCCUUGACUUCGGGAUAACUUCAGGAAACUGGGGCUAAUACCGGAUAGGAAUCCUUGCUGCAUGGUGGGGGUUGGAAAGCUUCGGCGGUUUUGGAUGGACUCGCGGCUUAUCAGCUUGUUGGUGGGGUAGUGGCUUACCAAGGCUUCGACGGGUAGCCGGCCUGAGAGGGCGACCGGCCACAUUGGGACUGAGAUACGGCCCAGACGCCUACGGGAGGCAGCAGGGGGGAAUAUUGCACAAUGGGCGGAAGCCUGAUGCAGCAACGCCGCGUGCGGGAUGACGGCCUUCGGGUUGUAAACCGCUUUCAGCAGGGGCGAAGCUUGUGGUGACGGUACCUGCAGAAGAAGCACCGGCUAACUACGUG